CCUACGGGAGGCAGCAGUGGGGAAUUUUGGACAAUGGGGGCAACCCUGAUCCAGCCAUUCCGCGUGAGUGAAGAAGGCCUUCGGGUUGUAAAGCUCUUUUGUUCGGGACGAAACGGUUAAGGUUAAUAACCUUGACUAAUGACGGUACCGGAAGAAUAAGCACCGGCUAACUACGUGCCAGCAGCCGCGGUAAUACGUAGGGUGCGAGCGUUAAUCGGAAUUACUGGGCGUAAAGCGUGCGCAGGCGGUUUUGUAAGCCAGAUGUGAAAUCCCCGGGCUCAACCUGGGAAUGGCAUUUGGGACUGCAAGGCUGGAGUAUGGCAGAGGAGACUAGAAUUCCUGGUGUAGCAGUGAAAUGCGUAGAUAUCAGGAGGAAUACCGAUGGCGAAGGCAGGUCUCUGGGUCAAUACUGACGCUCAUGCACGAAAGCGUGGGGAGCAAACAGGAUUAGAUACCCUGGUAGUCCACGCCCUAAACGAUGUCAACUGGUUGUUGGGGGAUUUAUUCUCUUAGUAACGAAGCUAACGCGUGAAGUUGACCGCCUGGGGAGUACGGUCGCAAGAUUAAAACUCAAAGGAAUUGACGG
rnacentral:rRNA from 1 species